GAUCCUGGCUCAGGAUGAACGCUAGCUACAGGCUUAACACAUGCAAGUCGAGGGGCAUCAUGAUCUAAGCUUGCUUAGAUUGAUGGCGACCGGCGCACGGGUGAGUAACGCGUAUCCAACCUUCCCUAUAGUAGAGGAUAGCCCGGCGAAAGUCGGAUUAAUACUCUAUGUUUUCCAAUGCAGACAUCUAAGUUGGAACAAAGGUUCACCGCUAUAGGAUGGGGAUGCGUCUGAUUAGAUAGUAGGCGGGGUAACGGCCCACCUAGUCGACGACCAGUAGGGGUUCUGAGAGGAAGGUCCCCCACAUUGGAACUGAGACACGGUCCAAACUCCUACGGGAGGCAGCAGUGAGGAAUAUUGGUCAAUGGGCGAGAGCCUGAACCAGCCAAGUAAGCGUGCAGGAUGACGGCCCUAUGGGUUGUAAACUGCUUUUAUCGGGGGAUAAAGUGAGGGACGUGUCCCUUAUUGUAGGUACCCGAUGAAUAAGGACCGGCUAAUUCCGUGCCAGCCGCGGC
rnacentral:rRNA from 1 species